UGGAACCCACGAACCGUGAGAUCAUGACCUGAGCUGAAGUCGGACGCUCAACUGACUGAGCCAGGGGCCCCCAAAAUGAUUUUUUUUUAAUAGGGAUUAUUUUGUUUUUAGUUUGAGAGAGAGAGAGAGGGAAUCCCAAGCAGGCUGUAUGCUCAGCACAGAGCCCGAUGCCGGGCUCGAUCCCAUGACACUGGGAUCGUGACCUGAGCCGAAAUCAAGAGCCGGUGCUCAACUGCCUGAGCCCCCCUGGCGCCCCAGAAUUGAUUUAUCUUUCACCUCUUCAUUUACUGGUGGAUUCUGUUAAAAAUCAUGUGCUGACCCGGGCUGAGUGAGGGGUCGCUGGAUGGGAAAAAUUCGAGAGGAGCCUGAUGGGGGACCGGGUGUUCUUCCCAAACUGGAUUCUGGCCGAAGGCAGGCCCAGGACUCGGAUGGCAGGGCUCCCAAGAAGCUGCUGGACCCACUUAGCUGGAUCCUCCGCUAACACUGGGCGCCGAGGGCCCGUUUGAGAUGAAGCCUCUGGAGGAGUCUGGCUCCAGGGAGGUCAAGGACAGGGGUCUGCCGUCUCUGACGUGGGUAAUGUGUGUGUCCUUUGCUGAAGGUAGCAGUAACCCUUUGGCCUCAAAACCCAGUGAAGGAGUGUCUGCCCGUGGUGAGGCCAGCGCCCGGCGCCCUAGGGCCUCUGGGGUGGGCACAGGUCAGGCUUUUCCCCGGGGGGGGGGGAGGCUGGGACUGCGGGUCUGCAGGGGGGGCCCCGAGGAGGGCAGUCGCUGAGUGGGACGCUCAAGUUCAUUCGGGGCCUGGGGGCCGAGGAGGAGGGUGAUGACGGCGACCGGAACCACGGCUGGGACUUCCCUUCCCCGCCUCCGGGGAGCCUCGCCCUGCCUUGUCCUGGAGCCCGCUGUGGCAGGGCCAGCGGAGAGGGGCGCCGCUGCCUUCACAGGACCCCGUCAGUGAGGCGGGACGGCUGCACCCCGCGCCCCUAGAGCCAGGACCCCGCUCCUGCAGUCACGUGGCCGGGCCGCCUAAAGCCACGAGGGCCUUUAACAGUGAGGGGCGUGUCCACUAGGGGGCGGCAGAGACCGGCGUCCGCCCGCGCUCCGACCCCGCCCCUCCGGUUCUAAAGAGCGGCUCCCGGAGUCCGCACCUGCCGAGCCGGGCCCCGAAGCGCCUGAACGCGCCUCCGCCGCGACUUGCUCCCGGACCCCGACGGACUCCCCGCCGUGCCGUGGAACGCGCACGAGCGCACUUCGUCCCCACGGCGACCCCGGGCGGCCGGUGCUGUGUUACCGCCCCCGUUUUACACGCAAGGAAACCGAGGCCCAGAGAAGACAGAACGUGAGCAGAGGAGGAGCAGAGAGAGAAGGAGACACAGAAUCCGAAGCAGGCCCCAGGCUCCGAGCCGUCAGCACAGAGCCCGACGCGGGGCCCGGACCCACGAACCGCGAGAUCGUGACCUGGGCCGAAGUCGGACGCUCAACCUACGGAAGCACCCAGGACCAGCUGCACCGGCUCUUGUGGGCGCCCCGGAGAGCAGGACAAGAAGGUUCCGGGUACGUGGUCCAAAGGACAUCCCCGAACGUGACAUUUAGGACGAUCCAUUUCUCCCACGAUGACUUCUCCAAGUGCAUACAUAAUAAAUAAAUAGAAAACACAUCUUUGUUCGUGGCAACACCUAUGAGAAAUGUUUACGAACAAAACAUCUAAUUCCCGAAAAAGGACCAGCCAUUUCGGCAACAGGAAAGAGACCAGCAUUUCAGGGGAGUGUGGCUCGCCCCAGAGGGCCUAACUCAUUUGGAUGCCGACAGACAGAACCGUGGGAGCGAUUUUCCAGGCGGUGAGAAAACGUGUGCCACCAAGAACACGCCGGGCCCCUGGCUCUUGCUGGCCGGCGUCGGAGGGAGAGUGCGCACACGGACCCUGAGCUGCUGGGCGUGUGUACAACUCUGAGCAUUUUCAAACAGAUACGCUCUCUGAAACCAACCGAACCAAAGACUGUCCACACUCCCGGCCACCGGAAGCGACCCCACCCUAGCUGGUUCACAGUGUGAGACCCUCGCGUCGACAGAGUUUGAAAAACUCAACGGAACUGCAGACGGGGACAUGAGGUCACGACUCCCCUCCCCACCCGUCGCCGGGAAUCUGCGUGGAAGAGGUUUCUCCCGGGAGCACGGCCCCUGCCGUGUCCCACCUUCGCCUCCCAGCAGCUGGACGGACCGUGCUCCGGGAAACCGCUCUGGCAGUCGGCUCAGCCUGGGGAGGGGACCCCUCCCGAGGGCCGCGGCUGCAGAGGGGGCAGAGAAGGCCGUCUUCGAAAGAAGAGUUGCGAAGAGUGUGUGGUUGGCGCAGGAAAGGGGGAGAUACAGCUCGGCGUGACCCUGGGGCCCCCCGGGAGAGUGUGAACCCCAGAAGGGGUCCCCUCCCUCAGGAGCUCUCUGAGCUCCCUGCAGGGCGGAGGGUGGGCGAGGCAGACAGCUCAGGGGUCAGCGGGUAGCUGCGAGCCCCCGACCCCAGCAGCCGAGCCGGCUCACCCAAAGCGUUGACGCAAGCCUGCCACUGUGCCCUGGGCCGCACCUGUGCUCCUGCACUCGGGUAGCACCAGCGGGACGGCCGUGGCCACCAGGACAAGCGGGGGCCGCAGUGCUGCCCCAACCCGCGGGGCGGGCAGUGGGCCUGGAGAGAAACAGCCAUCGGCCAAUUCUCUCUAUUCUGAUGACUUUUUCAGGGGACUCGUCC